CAGGUCUCCUGGGCUGCUCGGAGGAAUAUUUCUUGUGAAAUAACCAAUCUGCUAGGAGCCAUGUUCUGGCGAUGCUCUGUGCAAGGAAACAGGGGGGGACCAUUGGCUGCGCUGACUGGCAUGGUUACUGGAGGCUGGAAACAGCAGCUGCAUCUUCACCGUGGCCAUUUCUUCCAUCACAGAGCUCCUGUGGGACAUCUCUCAGGAAAACAAGGUAAACUCACUGAAAUUAUUUCCCAAACGUAAGUUAUUAGCAUGAAUUUCUCAUCAAAAAACAAUAACAGGGGAUUUAUCUUCUUUUUUUUGUUUUGUUUUGUUUUGAUGGAAGCCUGGAUGCAUCAGAGAGCUGGCAACACACAUCCACCAGAUAAUUAGAUUGAAAGAAAACCACCCCUCUGAAGACAAUGAGAUGAUAAAAGAGAUCAAGGUCCCUGGGAAAACGUA
rnacentral:lncRNA from 1 species